CAACGUAAAGAACCUGCCUCAUAGACGGGGACAACUAUUGGAAACGAUAGCUAAUACCGGAUAACAGCAUAAAUCGCAUGAUAUAUGUUUAAAAGUUGGUUUCGGCUAACACUAUGAGAUGGCUUUGCGGUGCAUUAGCUAGUUGGUGGGGUAAAGGCCUACCAAGGCGACGAUGCAUAGCCGACCUGAGAGGGUGAUCGGCCACACUGGGACUGAGACACGGCCCAG
rnacentral:rRNA from 1 species